AACCUCCGCAAUGUGAGAAAUCGCGACGGGGGGAUCCCAAGUGCCAUUCUUAACGGGAUGGCUUUUCAUUAGUGUAAAGAGCUUUUGGAAUAAGGGCUGGGCAAGACCGGUGCCAGCCGCCGCGGUAACACCGGCAGCUCUAGUGGUAGCAGUUUUUAUUGGGCCUAAAGCGUCCGUAGCCGGUUUAAUAAGUCUCUGGUGAAAUCCUGUAGCUUAACUGUGGGAAUUGCUGGAGAUACUAUUAGACUUGAGACCGGGAGAGGUUAGAGGUACUCCCAGGGUAGAGGUGAAAUUCUGUAAUCCUGGGAGGACCGCCUGUUGCGAAGGCGUCUAACUGGAACGGUUCUGACGGUGAGGGACGAAAGUUAGGGGCGCGAACCGGAUUAGAUACCCGGGUAGUCCUAACUGUAAACGAUGCGGACUUGGUGUUGGGGUGGCUUUGAGCUGCUCCAGUGCCGAAGGGAGCUGUUAAGUCCGCCGCCUGGGAAGUACGGUCGCAAGACUGAACUUAAAGGAAUU
rnacentral:rRNA from 1 species